AUUGAACGCUGGCGGCGUGCUUAACACAUGCAAGUCGAGCGGUAGCAGGCGUAGCACUACGUGCUGACGAGCGGCGAACGGGUGAGUAAUGCUUCGGAAUCUUCCUAGUAGUGGGGAACAACCUGGGGAAACUCAGGCUAAUACCGCAUACGACCUACGGGUGAAAGCAGGGGAUCGCAAGACCUUGCGCUAUUAGAUGAGCCGAAGUCGGAUUAGCUAGUUGGUGAGGUAAAGGCUCACCAAGGCGACGAUCCGUAGCUGGUCUGAGAGGACGACCAGCCACACUGGAACUGAGACACGGUCCAGACUCCUACGGGAGGCAGCAGUGGGGAAUAUUGGACAAUGGGGGCAACCCUGAUCCAGCGACGCCGCGUGUGUGAAGAAGGCCUGCGGGUUGUAAAGCACUUUUAGUGGGGACAAAAAGCAAAGGGCUAAUACUCUUGUGUCUUGAUUUAACCCAAAGAAAAAGCACCGGCUAACUCUGUG
rnacentral:rRNA from 1 species